rnacentral:misc_RNA from 1 species
UGUAAUUCCAAGCUUGGAGCACAGUGUCAGUCUGGUUUGAGACGCUCGUGCGAACGAAGCGAGAGUAGUGGUUGAUUCUGUCUUCCCUUUUUCGGUACGUUCUUCGGAUGCGCCCCCUUCUCCAACGUUCUUCUCCACCCACUCAAGCGGAAUAAUAAUCAUUCUCUCUCUUUCUCUCUCUUUCUCUCUCUUUUUCUCUCUCUCAGAGCAGUGUCGCGCAAAGUAUUGUUAUAAAUACGCACAGAUCGAUCUCGAGUGCGGCGUGAGAGAAAGCGGCGAACGCAGCAAGAGUAUAGUGCAGCGAGAGAAUAAUCCGGCAGGUCCGACGAAGGCGACGGCUAUAAGAGCCGAAAAAAUGUUUGAGAAGCGCUUAGAUAUCUACAGCGUGAUCACGCUAGAAAAUACAAUGGCGGAGAUGGCAACGAAGAAGUCAAUUAAUGUAGUAAGUAACAAGAAGAGCGAAGUGUGCAAUGUUCAAUCUAACAACGAUUUGAUUGAUUUGGAUGAUUUAACCGCAAGUAACAAUCAACUAAUCUCUUUAUGCGAUGACGACGAUCUUGUACUUACAAAGAACACUCAUAACGCGCUUGACGGCGAUGACAAGAGCUUGCAAGAAUUGAUAGAUAGUGAGCUAGCUCUGAGGAUCUGCUCGAGUAAAAGCGGCGACAAGGUCGUUACGGACAAUGAAGAAUCUGAGGAAAUUGUCACUCGACCGGAGACAAUCAAGAGAAUUAUUUUGGAUCAUCGACAAAAUCUUGUUGACGUUAACGCGAAAUUCAUAACAGCCGAAAAUGAACACUGUUCUUUUAUCGAAGAAUCCUGUGCCCAUCAAAAUAGUUAUGUAUGCCCGAAUGCAAACGACGCGGUUAUAAAAUCAGAAUUAAUGUUUUCUCGCGAUGAGGAAAAGAAGCAGGUAUUUAUUAAGCAGUCGGAAAUUGGCUAUUCAUCGAUAAUUAUUCAGAAAACAAGCGAUGAGAAUGAUCAAAUAUCGAGUUGCAGUGAGCCUGUUAAUAACAACGACAUUAACAAUAGCAAAGACUCAAAUGUGGACUAUCAAAUCGGUAUAAAGGAAAUCGUGCUUUCUACAAAUGAUACCAGCAGUGAUACAUGCGAUUUUGUCGAUGAUGAGUUGACUAUUCAGCAAGAAUCUUUUCUGGCUUCUAUGAUUUGCCCCAAGGAUAAAUACCAACAGGAAGAAAAGCUGACGCGAAACGUACUGGACGAUACGAAUCUCUCGCAAAUCAACAUUAAUGAAGAAAAGAAGAAAGAUGUUAUAGUGCGAGGUGAGCAAGUACCAUUUUCAGAUCAGCAGACUCAUCAAUCUUUUGAUAACUUGGAUAAAAAGUUUUAUCAGCAACAUCAAAGUAGUGAUAAGCAGGAAUGUAACAAAGAGCUUAUGAAUGAGCAUAUCAAUAAGUUUGACGAAUUCUGUGGAUACAGUCGCAUGAAAGAGAAAGAGGAUGAAAUUUUAAUAUCAUCAAUUUCCCAAAGCAAAUUUUCGCUCUUGGAAAUGACAGAGAAAACACAAUCAAAGUUGAAGGGAAAACUUAAGGAAGAUCCUCAUAAUGUUCAAUCGAUUCAGGAGCAAUUCAAAAGCUGUGAUAAUGAUAUCAAUCAGUGCAAAAUGUUCAUGGAGACAACUACUAGCAUGCAGUUCUCCGAUACAGAGCGUCACGCAUUAGGCGAGGAAGCUCUUCAGAAAACAUCACAAAUAUUAUCAGAAAUCAUUGAGUCAAUGACAUUGAAAUCGAACGAAUUAACAGAAUAUCCUAAAAAUAUCGAGAAGGACACGCAGAACCUGAUAAACGAGUCCUUGAGCAACGAGUUAUCUGAGUCAGACUCAAGCUUUCUCAAGAAGGUCGAGAUCACGGUGUCCGAUACGAAUAUGAUCUGUUCGGAUACAAAGCAGAUCGUUGAAAAGCUCCAGAAUCUGGAUUCAUGGACUACAGUCGAGGAAACCACAAAGUUGGCCGACACCAAGAAGAAGCAACAACAGAAUAUCAGGAAACACGAUGUUAACAUUAACGAAAUGAAGACAGAUGAUAAUAAGAAAAAACAGGAUUUUUUCGCACUUCCGUCUUCUCAUGUACCUUUGGCCACAUCAGACGAGAUGGAAAUAAGUGAUGUUUCUAAUAUCUGUGAUACGGAAAGCCGCGAAGAGACGACAAUCAACAGUUUUAACGUAUCUUCUUCAAAGAGCGAGACUAAGAUGAAGAAGAAGAAAACUGAAGACCUUGCUGCUAACAGUGUUACUUCACCAAAUCUUACGCGCACAAAGAAAACAAAGAAGAGCAAGAAAGGUGAUCUUGGAAAGGAGAAUAUUUCCGUGAAUUGUAGCUCACAAGACUCCGCAAACAUGCAUACAAGCGUUCGGCGAUCGCAUUUGGAGAUGAUCAAUUUCUCUAACGAGGACGAUUUGUCGAACGUCAACGUUAAGUCAUUGACAGAGAACUAUGUAUCGGAAACAAAUCGUAGCGAUCAGCAGAGGCUGUGCAGAGAACAAAUUGCCACUGGCAUAUCCAUCAAGCAAUUAAAAUCGAGCUUCAGUAAAUUUGAUGCUCUUACUAAAAAGCCAGUCUUGCAUGUACGUUCAGUCGAUGCGGGAAAAGUACAACAACAACUGAAUUGUGUAGGUCAAAAUGGCGACGCAAAUACGAAUUGUCGAAGCUGCGGCAAGGUCGUAUUUCAAAUGGAACAGACAAAAGCCGAAGGUCUUGUUUGGCAUAAGAAUUGUUUCCGGUGUGUUCAGUGUAGCAAACAGCUUAAUGUUGAUAAUUAUGAGAGCCACGAGAGUACGCUUUACUGUAAGCCACACUUCAAGGAGCUCUUCCAACCAAAACCAGUUGAAGAGUCCGAGCAGCUCAUACGACCUCGAAAGCCAGAAUUGAUCAUACGAGAGAACGAGCCGAAAGAGUUGCCACCUGAUGUUGUCAGAGCUUCUGACAAGCCUGAUCUGGGACUCGAGGAGCUUUUGAGCUUGAAUGUGAAGUCACGCUUUGAAGUCUUUGAAAAGGCUAGCACAGAGAGCACUAAUGAAAUCGAGAAAUCGCCGUCACAAAUUGCCGUUAAACGAUCACCUAGUAUCCUCAGUAAACUGGCUAAGUUUCAAGCUAAAGGUAUGGAUAUUGGCGUGGCGGAUGAAUCUCUUAAUGGUAUACCCUACGAAGAAUCUAGUGAAAGUGAAGAUGAAUUGAAGACGGAACAAACUGAAGGGGAUUUGGAAACCGAAAUUGUGAAGGCAAAACGCAAUACGCGUGAACGUCCGAUUAGUUUCUCAAAAAUGGAUGACAUAAAAAAUCGCUGGGAAUCAACUAGUCAACAAGGGAGACGAGAAAUUCAGCGUGAAGCUAGAAAAGAAGAAAUUGCUGGUAUUCGCUCGCGCUUAUUUAUGGGAAAACAAGGUAAAAUGAAAGAGAUGUAUCAACAAGCGGUAGCGGGAAGUGAUCGCGUUACAAAGAUCAACGCGGCAGAGGAGAUCCAGCACUCAACAAACCAUGCACGCUCCCUAAAAGAGAAAUUUGAACGAGGCGAGCCAAUCGCGGCUUCAGAUGAUGAAACCGACAACAAACCAAAACCGGAGAAAGCUGAUGAGGAAGUGAUAGCAGCAGGUAUCAGUAAGAAAUCGAGGUCACACUUUUUGGAACUGGAUGCUUCUGCAGCGAAAGCAGGAGGUCCUGUUGCGCCAAUACAUCCAAAACCACCAACGGAAAUUCCACGACGUGUGCGAGAAGCGUUUAUGGGUCGUCAAGUCUCAGACGACAUGGUACGCAGCUCGGACAUAACUGAAGAGAUCCACGUAGAAACGUCGGAAAUUUCAAACAAGUUUAAAUUCUUCGAAUCCUACAAAGAACCAGAGAAACAACGGAAGCAAUUUCGAAUUACACCGCCACGCGAUGGCCAAGUCAAGAUGGAUUCACCGGAUCGCGAGAUCUAUCGUGACCCUGAUGUCAUCAGAGCCGAUGAUAAGAAAAAUGAAGUAGUGCAUACUGAUACAGCGAAGAAGAUGCUAUCCAUUUUUCGGCAAAUGGAGGAAAACGCAUGCAAAGAAGAAGUGCCGGAAGGUCCAAAGCCUCUAAAAUGCUUCACGCCGCCUCCUGAAAACAAAUUCGCUAAAGCAACUGCUUCGGAUACGGAAGAGGAUGAGGACGAAGAUGAGGAGUCUGAUGAUGAUAAAAGCAUCGAAGAAAGGGAUCCCAACUAUGUUCGUGCUUCUGAUAAGGUAGAAGACAAAUUCUUGAAACAAGCUCAAAAUGCGGCUCGUGCAAAAAGUCUUCGUGCUAAGUUCGAACACUGGAAGAAUACUGAGGACAAAAUCGAUAGUCAUCAUAUCGAGAUAGAAAUGGCUCAGAGCAUAGGCGAACAAUCCAGCAUAGAAUCUACGAGCAGUCUGAGAGCUCGUUUUGAGUCCCUUGGUUCGCAGACCAACGAAUUGCCGCGUACACCGAAGGUUAAAGUUAAUCGAUUUGUGGUUGGUCACACUGACAAGCGGAGAGUUGACGAGUUGAAGCUGAGUCGUGGUGUCAACUGGACGUGUCGCGAGCUUGAUUUAUGAAGCUGUGAGAAUAUUGUGUAUCGGAGUGCAGUUACAAUAAAGUUCCUUUUUACAAACGCACAAGCUUUAUUCACGCGAAAGCGCGAGUGUUAGCGAGCGCGGAGCACGAGCGCGUGUCGAGUGAAAUCCGCCGCCUGGACGCAACAAUAUUAAUUGGAAUAAAACUACAAGCAUUGACACCCAGCUUUGCACGGAUUUUGAUGUUGUUUACAUAAAUGAUAUCCUUCGUCUCCUUUGCGAUAUAUGGUCGAACAUUAUCGUGCUUCAAAAUAAUUAGCUCUCUGGCCAGUGUACGGCCCUCUUUGCUCCAAUGCGAGAAAAAAUGCACAUAAAUUGGUCAGAUGAGGUCCAGACAACCUGCGUGGAAGUGUGCGAGAACUGCCAGAAGAAAGUCUAUCCCUUGGAGAAAGUCGAAACAAAUAAUAAAAUCUUUCACAAGCAA